CAAUUAGCAAAACUCGGAAUUAGUAUCACAAACGCGCAAAUGAUACGAGACGGAGGGAUUUUAAUUGUCACCUCACAACUUUCCUACACUUUAUAUCAAUUCCUACUCUAUCUGCUACAUACACGCAAAGCCCAAAAUCAGCAAUAGAAAGUAUGCAAGUACAAACAUCAACUCAUUUUCUUCAACUCUGCAGCCCCUUUUCAGCUCAAAGCCAUGCUGCUAAGGGUCAUUCAUCUAUAACCUACGCAUGCUUCAUCUUGUCAAACACUCAAGUAUCAGCACCAACUCCACACUUUAUACUAUUAGCCAACAACCCUUUCUUCUAUUUCAGUCAACAAAUUCUCCUUCAUAUCUUCCUUCGUGUACCAACUCUCAAAGGAAAAGAAUUUUGAUUCAGCUUCUGGCAGACUCAGAAAGCACAGACAGCCAAAAGAACAAACAUUCAAGGUCAAGCGUGAGAAUGAGAGCUACUCAAGGAGUCGCAACACCUUAACAAAUCUUUGCUAUCAGGUUGAGCUGUGAUGGACGAUGAAGUGUUGCUGAGUGGAGCUUUUGUCGAACUAAAAUUAGGCUCAGAAAGGAUAUAUGUCUGCAUACAUGUAUCUCAGUUAUGUCUUCCGCUGCAAACACUGAUUAUGUUUUAGUCAAGUCUAUAACUAUGCCAAUUACUCUUCAAAGAAAUAUCUAAUGCUUACUCGGGUUCAUCGAGUAUCAUUUAUAAUUAUAUGCGUCAAUCCUUCAAU